rnacentral:rRNA from 1 species
GACGAACGCUGGCGGCGUGCUUAACACAUGCAAGUCGAACGGUGAAGCAGAGCUUGCUCUGUGGAUCAGUGGCGAACGGGUGAGUAACACGUGAGUAACCUGCCCUUGACUCUGGGAUAAGCGUUGGAAACGACGUCUAAUACCGGAUACGAGCUGAGACCGCAUGGUCAUCAGUUGGAAAGAUUUUUUGGUCAAGGAUGGACUCGCGGCCUAUCAGCUUGUUGGUGAGGUAAUGGCUCACCAAGGCGACGACGGGUAGCCGGCCUGAGAGGGUGACCGGCCACACUGGGACUGAGACACGGCCCAGACUCCUACGGGAGGCAGCAGUGGGGAAUAUUGCAGAAUGGGCGCAAGCCUGAUGCAGCAACGCCGCGUGAGGGAUGACGGCCUUCGGGUUGUAAACCUCUUUUAGUAGGGAAGAAGCGAAAGUGACGGUACCUGCAGAAAAAGCACCGGCUAACUACGUG